UAUAAUCAUCACGGGCGGCUCGCUGUAUUGCACCGGAAACGCUGUAGCAAAUCGCCUCUACCGGUUUAGUUACUGUCCGAAAGACCCUCACCAUUUGGCACACGCAUUGCAAUUUGUUGCAAAAAGUUCGCCAAUUUUGGAAUGACCCAGGUCACUUGAUGACCUUGAAAACAUCCACUCGAAACCUGUUCAUACGUUCAAGCUUGCUCCUCAUCCUUCCCGGGAUAACAAUUACAUUACUCAGACUCAGACUCUCAGGCUGCAUCAUAGACUCUCAGCUGACAAAUAAAUAAUUAAUUAAUAUCACAAAUAAUAAAUCUCCAGAAUGGUAACAAGGACAGUAUAUAACUGAGUAGUGGCAUAAUACAAAUAUAAAAGAAGUAGAUAGUCUUACAGUUAUCAAUUCACUCAAGAAAUAGAAUUUCAAAUACUAUGAAGUAAACACUGUCACCGGCCUGUUAACCGUAUAUAUUUUUUCUAUUAAGUGUUACAUAUCCAGGGCAUGUUAGAAAUGGGAUUAUUUUAUGGAUUGUCAUUCGACAGCAAAUACUCACCUAAAAAUAAUUUAAAAAUACAAAAUUACAAUGACAAAGCCAAAUAACAUUCCUGAACUGACCCCACAACGACCCUUAAGAAGUUUAUUAAUUAAGUCAAGGAAAAUAGUGAAAAGUUCUGCAAAGCCACCCAUUCUACAAAAAGCUGACAAGAUGACCAGUGAAUUAUCGUUAGCAAAUUUGAAAACAGUGCUUAAAGAAAAUAAUACUGACUUGACAAACACAAUUAGUAAGAAAAUUGAUUCAAAGUUUGAUGCACUAAAUGAUAUCCUUAGCGCACAAGAUAAAAAAUUAAAGUUCUAGAGUCUGAAGUGCUAAAUUUGAAUAAUACUGUAGUUCGUGUUAUUAAUGAAAACGAACAGCUUUGGCGUGAAGUUAACAAACUCAAUUUAGUUAUCUCAGGAGUGCCGGACUCUGAAUACGAGUCUCGUGAGGAACUAGGAGUCAAAAUUGACGCCAUCGUGGUAAAGAUAGUUGGUGAAAGUAGAAAGUUCGACACUAUUACAAGAGUUGGAAAAUUCCUAAAAAAUUCUACAAGGCUAAUCAAAGUUCGCUUUCUCUCAAUAAAUGACCGGGACGAGGUGUAUGACAACAGAUACAAUGCUGAACGUCCGACCUACAUUAACGAGGAUCUCCCCCCCGCAAUGAGAAGAGAUCAUGCCAUAAUGCGACAAAAGAAGAAGCAAUUUGUUAAGGAUGGAUAUGGACCACAACAAAUAAAAAUGGACUGGAACAGACGGAUAAUUCGAGCUGGAGAAGAAACCUUCAAAAUCGUUGAUGGACAAAUUACUUUAAUCGAAACAAAGAAUACGACAACCUCAAAAUCCCCCCCUCAAGGUCAGAAACCAACUACAACGCAUCAAAAUAAACAAAACAGAGUGAGUUUUGGACACCUGAACGGGACAAACCCCUAUUAUGGUGGAUCGGACUCAACUCCGAAAAAUCAAACUAACACAAAUUUCAAUAUCAAUAGAUCGAGAGGAAGGGGGAGAGGAUAUGGAACUAGACGCGGCUCGAAUCAAAUAAUCUACCGGAACCAGCUCACAAAUCCUUCGCCACUUCCGCCCAAAUCAUCGUCAUUGCUGUCCAACCCAUCGACAACCUCAUCUACUCGUCCCCUCCAUUUUUUAGGCCAGUCCAGCCGAAGCCUCGGCAACUAAUAACCCUCUCCCAAUUAAAUGUUAAUUCUGUAUAUAAAAAGUUCAACGAAAUAUCUACUUACCUCUCCGCUGAAGACAUCGACAUUUUAUGUGUAACUGAAACCCUACUCAAAGAGCACCACUGCAUGAGAGAAAUCUUGGGGUACAAAUUAUUUCGAUGUGAUGUCAAAAGCGCAAAUGAACGUGGGGUUGCAAUUGUUAUCAAAUCAAGUUUUAACGCCAAAAUAUUAAAUCUCCGAACCGAGAACUGUGCAAAUAUUGAGUAUGUAUGUAUAUCAGUGCAAAUCGAAAAAUACAAAUCAAUAAUAAUUUGCUGCGUAUAUCGGCACCCAGUCUACAGUACUACUACGCUACAAGCUGAUCAUCUGUUCUUGCGUACUCUGUUAACUGAAAUAUGUGAUAUGAAUAAGUCUAUAUAUGUACUUGGAGAUUUUAAUCUAAAUAGCCAAAAAUCAAUAGAGCCAUUAAAUACAACCAUAACACAAUUAAAUCUUGACCAAAUAAUCAAUACUCCCACCCGUGGUGAAAACAUUCUGGAUCUAAUAAUUGUAAAUAAAAUUAAUACUGUGACACAUUCUGAAGUUUAGGACCCACAUAUUUCUGAUCAUGCAGCAACAGAGUGUACAAUAAAUAUUGCUCGUUCUAGGCCAGUUAAAAAGAGCAUACAGUUUCGCAACUAUAAAUAUGUAUCUACCGAAGCCAUAAUACAGAGAAUGACAAACAUUGUGAUUAAUGAGCAAUCUGACUCACCUGAAAGUGCCACAUUACUACUAAGCAACGCCAUACUGGGUAUUUUUGACCUUCUCGCCCCCGUAAAUAAGGUGACAGUCUACGAAUCCACAAAUAAAAAAUACGUGUCGGAAUCUACCAAACGAUUUAUGAGGGAACGUGACCAGGCCUACAAAUGUUUCCAGCUUUACCCAUCAUUGCAAUCAAAAACAAAACUUGAUGACCUCAAGAGAGCAGUGAAGAGCGGUAUCCUACGUUCCCAAGCAUCCUUAAAGUGGCUAAAAUUGUACCGUUGCCCAAAUCAUGUAGCCCUACCACACCGGAUAAGUUACGACCAAUAGCGAUACAACCUGUUAUUACUAAACUAUUCGGGAAAUGUAUAUUUGAGCAAUUACAAAAAUACCUUGAAACAAAUCGUAUGUAUUCUCCGUAUCAAUUUGGCUUUCGUAAACUACAUUCAACCACUCAUGCGAUUAUAUCGGUCGACGUAAAGAAGGCCUACGACAAACUUUGCAAAGAUGUAUUAAUGCAUAAGUUAAAAUGGUAUGGUAUAGAUGAAAAAGUAAUCGAAGCCCUACUUACAAAUAGAAAACAGUAUGUCUAUGUAUAUCCCAAAAUGUAAUUGUCAUGCAAAGUCAUCCACUUUAGAAACUAAUCUUGGGGUCCCUCAAGGUCUAUGCGUAUCUUGUCUCUUUUUCUUGGUCAUGAUGAAUGACCUCCCAACCAUUCUGAAGUACUGCUCUGCUGUAAUGUUUGCAGAUGAUACUGGUCUUAUCAUGGCGGGUGACAUUGAUAAGAUCGAAACUGUAAUAUCUAACUUAGAAUCUGAUUUAAAAUCAUUAUGUGCAUGGAUGGAUCAAAGUAGACAACAAUUGCACCCUGAUAAGUGUGAGAUGAUGGUAUUUGCUCUAAAAAAGCAUAGGUCACUACUCAGUGAUAUUGUUGUUCGAUUAGGCGAUAAACCGAUUAAGAAAAGUAAAGCUGUUGGGAGUUAUUAUUGAUGAUUGUCUUGAAUUUAAGGAUCAUUGUACUGCAGUUGUCAAAAAAUGUUACAGUAGUUUAUGGACGCUUAGACCACUUCGAAUGUUACUCAGUACGUACCAUAGAAAUAUUGUUGUUAACUCCCUCAUCAUGUCUAUUAUUAAUUAUGCCUCUCCAGUCUACUUAGUUGGUAAUCAGAAUAUCAAAUGUAUCCAGAAACUUAUAAGAUCGUGUGCUAGAUAUGUAUUAAACAAGCGUAAAUAUGAUAAUAUUACUGAUGAUAUGUAUAUGGAUCUCGAAUGGCUGGAUGCGGACAACAUAGCAAAGUUUGAAAUAUCGAAACUAUCUUUUAAUAUGGUAAAUUGUCUAUGUCCUUCUCUAUUUAAUAAUUAUGUUAAUUAUGAGGUAAUACAAACUAGGCAAACACGAUCCGUAACGCAUGUUGAGCCAAAUAUACCGUGUAACUCAAAAAUCAUGCUGAGAAGUUUUAGGUAUAGAGCGUCCAAGGUCAUGAUCAAUUUACCGAGUAAUUUACUUAGUGGUAAUACCAGUAAAAGUGUUUU